CGACAUGGCUGCUCCACCACCUCUCACCGUCAUGAACCCGCAGCAAACCCUUGCUGCCGCACCACAACAGCCGCCCCGUGUGACUGGAACCAUCGCACCGGCCUCUACCGUCGUUGUACCAUCUCAAGGUCUCGUGGCCGGAUCUAGCCGCCUUCAUGCACAGCCGUCGAGCAUGGUGGAACCUCCCAUCAAGGUGGGCUCACUACCACCGGC
rnacentral:lncRNA from 1 species